UUGAUCUAAAUUGCAGAUCAUAUAUAUAUAUAUAUCUUUUUUUUUUCCAAAACUGGAUUACAAACAAAAAUGGAUUUUCUCUACCCUAAGUCUGAACCCAGUCUGGGCAUGAAUCUGCAUGCAAUAUUUAUGGCACAUUUCAAAACUAUACAUGGGGCUACUGUGCAUAUGUCCAUAUCUCUUUUGCUGUCAUUUUACUUUGAAAGAGUCUGACUUUCUUGUAAUCAUUUAAAGUAGAACUUUGAACACGUUGCUGAAUUUUUAUUUCUUUUGUUGGAAGUUGAUUUUACCGGGGCUCAAAAGAAUGAUCAUGUGUGAAUUAUUAUUUAAAGUUGGUCCAUGUCUGUACGCAUCACAAUUCACACCAGGUACAUUUCUGGUUUACACAAUGCAUGUGUGCCCCAUGCGUGUACAUGCCAAUACGUGUGUGUUUGCACGCUUGAGUGUGUAUGUGUGAAACGGAGAGUAGGGAGGUGAGCGGCACUGGGCUUCUGUUGCACCUACUGAGCAUUAUCCCAAAUAAACAACUCAUUACACGUGUACUUAACCGAGGGGGAACCGGCGAGCUGUGCAAGCUAAUCCCCAUUAUCGUUCCCAGCGUUUCUCUUCCGAUUAGGCUACAGGGAAGAGGAGACCCACAAGGCAGGUCGCUCAGUUUAAGAGGAAGCAAGAAGGAGAUAGAAGAAAGAAAAGCACCUGAGUUAACUUCCCAAGAGUACCUCCUUCCCCUACCUCUCUUCCUUCUCCCUGUGCUAUUUGCUUUUUUGCUCUUACUUGUUUUCGACCACCUCUUCAGAACUGGGUCAUCGACAGUUUGUGGAGCAGCAUUUUGAAGAACAUGGGAAAGGGAUGAAAAAAAAACAAAAAACAUGUUCUUGCUAUGAGAAUAAUCUAAGGUUUCUUUAACAAGUAGCCUGGUUAUCAUAUUAAGCUGUCAAAAAACACAUUAAAAGGAGGAGGCACAAUUCCCUGCACAGAGAAAAUGGGGGCUGUGGGGUAGCACUCUUCAUUUCCAGUGUAAAGAGACAGUCCACCAAGGGCAGCAUAGUGCUUUGCAAAGACUCGCUCUCUCUUUCUGGCCCACUCAUAACAUGAUUAUGAAGCCCCUAUUAUGAGGGCCAAGAUGCAGAGUGUCAGUCAUUUAGUUGGAGAAUAAUAUCUUGGGCUAGGAUGCAGAAAAGAUGACACUCGUUUCUUUUUUUUGUUAAAAAAAAAGAGCUGCAGAGGGUGAUAAUGUGGCUUCAACAAUUAGAUGGCAUGGUCGAGAAGUGGUGCUCUUUGAAGAAUAACGGGAUUAACCAAGAAGACUGCCAUUUGCCCGCAUAAUAAAGACAGAAAAGUCAGUUUGACUGAGAAUAAUCCCUUUAAAAAAUAAAUGUUAGAUAGUAAAGUAUAGAGGGUACGGUGUUUUAUGGCCGUUCUACUCCAAUAGCAUAAAAUGGCUUUUUGUUGUUUCCUUGUACCCCCAUUUAGCUGAUUGUAUGAAACUUUAAUAUCUUAAAAUCAGGUAAGACACUGUUGAGGAAAAUUAACCGUCUGGUAUUUCACAGAAGACUGUUUAGUUUAAUGUUUUCUCAGCUGAAAAACAUCCUUCUUACUAUGCUAAAGCUGUUAUAGGAGUUUACUGGCUGUAUCAAUCCAGCCUUACCAUGCCAGUUCCACACCAGUAUGAGACCUGGAAAACCACAGUCUCUUCUGGAAGUACGGUUAAUAGCUGUGAAUAUAACAUAUAGCAACUUUAGUUGUUUUGAGUUGAAAAAACAAAAAACCUGAUUAAAAUGAGGUUCCAUCUGGCUAGUUGUAAGCAUGCUACUGGGCUGAGCUUUUUUUUUUUCUUUGUUCUUCAAGUUUACAGCAACAUGGGCUUUUUCUAAUUUACAAAACCUACCUUCAAUUUUCUAAACUUUUUAGUUUAGAAGUUUUUAGUUUCUAUGUUAUAUCAGAGUUAACUAAGGCUUUUCAGGCCUAACUUCAAGUCCUUCAAUGUUUUUCGGUACUUUCUCACACUCCCAAUCGGCAUGCCAUCCUGUUUGCUUGGCCCCUGAGAGGAGAUGGGGUGGGGUGAGGUUGGAGGGGACUGCUCAAAGUGGGCCGGCAGUGGAUGGAUGUGACGUGGGGGAACUGGGUCUCGACUGGAAGGGGAGGCUGGAGCCACGACAGGUAUCCCCCCGCACUUCCUCGGCUAUUUAUAAAACCGUGAGUCCAGCGCCUGGCCAAAAAUAAAGACAGAGGCCAUUUUUAUCAGCAACGAUGACAGAGGGGACAAAUAAAGACUCCCUUUAUGCUUUCCGAACACAAACACACAGGAAGCUGAAAAAUACCCAUGCAUGUAAACAGCUGAAAGCGAAAAAGUCCUCACAAGACAAUGAAACCAUCUACGUUGUCCUAUUCAGCAAACGUGCACACGCAAACACACACACACACACACACACACACACACACACACACACACACACAAACAUAGGGGAGAAAAGUCAAUACCAAGGCUGAACUAUUUUAGUAGCAGGACUGUUUAGGAAGUGUGGGCCAGGUGCCAGUAUUCUCCUCAGGAUCGUCUGGCCUGUCACUGCAAAUGGCGCUCUUACACGAAUUCAUCUCUUUCCUUCUCCCUCACCCUGUCCUCACCCUUUUUCAGUCAAUCCCCUGCUCCAUUGUCACUACUCUGUGCAUAUCUCUCUCCGCCAAAUAAACAAGGCUGUUUGUUUUUCCACCAGGUCCAACCGCAGUGCCAGGUGAAAGCAUCUGCUGGCAGGAUAAAGAAAGUGGCUGUUGUGAGACCACAAGCGCCCCCCACCACCUACCGACCCACCCUGCUCUGGCCCGGCAAACCUUGAAGCAAAGCACUCGGACUGGAGUUUCAAACAAAGUGCCCCCCUCAUUUAUUAUACAUGCAACUGCACUGAAAAUCUCCUUCUCCAACGCCAUCUCCUCUCCUCUCUCUUUCAGUUUCUCUCUCUCCAUCUUCUUCACUCUCUUCUCGCCUCGUCCCUCUUCGUUUUCUAUCUUUUUUCUUUCUUUUUUUUUCUUUUUUUUCCCAGACAGAGCAUCUAUAAAGUAUGAAUAAAAUUAAUGACAUCACGAGCUGCACUUUGGAAGAGCCACUGUAAGGAAAAAGCCAUACAUCAAGGGGCAGAGGGAGUCAGGCAAAAAAAAAAAAAAGAAGAAAAAAGAAAGUUUUUAGAAAAAGGAAGAAGAAAAAAGAAACAGGAGUGGGCGGUAGGCGUCGCUUAGCUCUUCCCCACCCUCAGGGUACUUCCAUAUCGCUGUAUGCUGUUGUGCUUAUAAAGUUUGAAUUCUGAUAUGCUUUUGUUCAUCUUUUAAUUCUCUUUUUUUAUAUAUAUAUUUCAUCUUGCUCACUUCCUUUCCUACAUUUCUUUGCCUUUUUUCCCUGCUAGCUCAGUGAUGUAUGUAGUCUCGACGGGUCUAUGCUGCACAUCAUUACAUAGGCUGGCCUUUUGGUUGGGAAUGUCACAGAUGACAGUGGAAAGGAACAGUUCUGUGGACUUUGGCCGUACACCGUCUGGUUAAGCUGUGUGCUCUGAAAAAAAGUGGGAACUCUGUGUGUGAGCUGUUGAAUAUUGUUUUUUCUUUCUCCCAAUGAGCCUCCCCCCCCUACUCCCCCUGCCACCAGGGAUAGUGUUAAGAGAUUUAUAAGAGAGUUCCCUUGGAUCAGAAUCGUAAAUUUCCUGAUAUGAUUUCCCAAGUAUCUAAAAGAGAAAGGAACGUGAUUAAUAUUCUGUCCUGGCGCACGGAGAAACAUAAGUGCAAACCUGUGCCGAUGGCCGAAAUUUUGGUGGUGCAUUGUUUGAUGACAAGAGGGCAGAUUCACACCAAAGAAUGACUUAGUAAAUUUCCUGUGAAUUCAGUGUGCACACAAGAGCUGCUAAAAAUACUCUGUAUUGCAACUCAAAGCUCUCAAGCAGCAUGGGGAGAAGUGGUGGCAGAAGCAGCAGCAGCAGUAGCAGCGCCGCGGAUUGUGGCAGCCGACCGAGCGUGGGCUUCAGAUGGAUGUGAGCGUAUGUGAGGCCACGACACAGAGCUACCUCUGUGUGUCUCGCCGGACUCUCGCAGAAUGACUCGGCUAUGUUGCAGUUGUGACAAAGAUAAAUUACAGUCGUUGGAAGACGUCUCUGUUUUUUUUUUUUUUUUUUUCCACCCUCCUUACUUUCUCUCUCUCUCUGUCUUUCCAGCUCUUUUAAUUUUGUUGGUACUGGCUCCAUUCCAAAUGUGUCCCACACCAAAAGAGGUAAAAAUAUCUUAGGUGUACAAGUUUGGCCCUUUAAUACUUAAAGGUCAGGUACAGUUCUUUGAAAUACGAUAUACUUUCUUUCUCUUCACCCCCACAUUAAUUAACCCCCUGGAAAUUCUCUCAACUUAUUCUCAAAAAAAAUCUGUGUGGUCAAAGAAAUAACACUUAGUUGCACUGAUUAAGUCUUUAGUUCUACUUACUCAAUUAGCAGCAAUUAGAUGGAUUAGGAUUGAAAUCAGCCAAUUUCCCCCUGAUCGGCCCGAGGCAUGAACCUGAUUAUUAGUAUUGUGGUAUACUGAAGAUUUGAAAGAAACUGGUUUCAAAUCACAAACUUUUCCAUUACACAAAUUCUGCCUGGUGAAGUCCACUCAAUCAGACCCAAAAGACCUUUUUUUCUUCAAUGACUAACACGGCUCUGCUCCUCCAUAACCUGCUACUUUGCACCGUUGGUUAGCUGGCUGAAAGACGACUUCUAUGCUUUUCCUUUGCUUUCAAAUUUUUGGGGGGCAUUAAAUAUUUAAUAUAUGGUAUGGAAACUAGUGCCACCCAUCACUGUUACGAAGAUAUAAUUUUAGCAAAAGGUAUUAUUAGACGAGUUUAGCUUGCCAUAAGAAUUUCAUAUCGGACCAUAACUAAACGGCUGCAAACAAGAGACCUGAAGGGCAGGUAAAGAGAAAUUGUUUUUUUUUUUUUCUACCAUAUGAACCAACCGCAUGUACUUUUAUGCAUUUUUGCUUAGGAAAAACGAGAUAAAGAUUAGCUAUUUAUUCGUGAUCGGUUGAACUCAAAACUACUAUAGCAACAGAAAAAAAAAAAAUAACAAACAAACAUCCUGCUGCACAUUUUAUUUUCUUUAAUCCUUUGUGAUCCUUAAAAAACUGGAAUUAAAACCAAUAAAUCGAUUGCGGACAAAAAAAUGUCUUAUCGGUGAAAUCGGUAAAAUUGUUCCCAACAGAAAACUGCAGGAUUUUCAUGCUCAAGAACCAUACGAACUAAUGUAUAAACAGUUUUGUUCUUAUUUACAUUUGACUUUAUCAUUUCAGUAUUGAUAUCGAGGCUUUCAGUAAGAUGUGUUUAAACAAAGAAACCCUACAUCUCCUCUACUCUAAAUAUUUCUCUAUAACUUAUCAUUCACCCCCCCUAUUUUUGAUUUUUUUUUUUUUUUUUUACCUCC